GGCCUGGUAGCUCAGCUGGAUAGAGCAAUGCCCUUCUAAGGCAUCGGUCGGGGGUUCGAAUCUCUCCCAGGUCACCA
rnacentral:tRNA from 1 species